AUUGAACGCUGGCGGCAUGCCUUACACAUGCAAGUCGAACGGUAACGGGCCUUCGGGUGCCGACGAGUGGCGAACGGGUGAGUAAUACAUCGGAACGUGCCCGAUCGUGGGGGAUAACGAGGCGAAAGCUUUGCUAAUACCGCAUACGAUCUACGGAUGAAAGCAGGGGACCGCAAGGCCUUGCGCGGACGGAGCGGCCGCUGGCAGAUUAGGUAGUUGGUGGGAUAAAAGCUUACCAAGCCGACGAUCUGUAGCUGGUCUGAGAGGAUGAUCAGCCACACUGGGACUGGGACACGGCCCAGACUCCUACGGGAGGCAGCAGUGGGGAAUUUUGGACAAUGGGCGCAAGCCUGAUCCAGCCAUGCCGCGUGCAGGAUGAAGGCCUUCGGGUUGUAAACUGCUUUUGUACGGAACGAAAAGCCUUCUUUUAAUACAGGAGGGUCAUGACGGUACCGUAAGAAUAAGCACCGGCUAACUACGUG
rnacentral:rRNA from 1 species